rnacentral:lncRNA from 1 species
GGUUAUUAUUACCUGAGACCCUGAAAGGAAGCACUAAAGAAAUGAAGACAGAGGAAUACCAGGAGAGAAAGGAGGUCCAGUUAGACCUAAAGGUGGGCAAGAAGAAGAAGAAGAGGAGUGCUUUGCCUGUAGCAUUUGAGGCAGGCGGCUGGGACACUGAAUGAAGAGCCUGGGGGAGGCAGGUUCAGCAUGCCACCGUUUCCUGGUCAUGAAGAUGCCAGCUCCAGCUCCAAGCAGGAGGAGGCUGGCCUUUGCCCCACGGCCUUGGCUGCAGCACCAUCACAUGCCUCCACGCCUCUCCAUCUCCUCAUGAAGAUCUCUCUCCAGAUAGAGACCAUUUCCUCCCUAGAGGAAUCCUUGUACUAUCCGUAGGGAGGCACCUGUUGAAUUCAGGCAUCGGCAUGUGACUUGAUUUGGUCAAUGAAAUGUGAGAGAAGUGACAUCCACUUUGAGGCAGGCACUUUCCGAGAUGCCAUCAAGCUGAGAUGUGAAGCGGAAGUGAGGCAGAGGCUCCCUUCCUUUUGUUUGGCGCAGUUUUCUGUGAGAGAGCAGAGGUGGGAGAUGAGGGGACCUCUGCCCCAGUGUUUCUGCAUCCAAGCUCCAGCCUUGUUGAAGGGUUGCCCCGACGGCCACUCUCCAUACUGCUGCCAGAAGAACCUUGAAAUAUCGCUCUUUUUAAUUAAAAAGCAAAACUCUUCAA